rnacentral:misc_RNA from 1 species
GAUGAAGAACGCAGCGAAAUGCGAUAACUAAUGUGAAUUGCAGAAUUCCGUGAAUCAUUGAGUCUUUGAACGCACAUUGCGCCCUCUGGUAUUCCGGAGGGCAUGCCUGUCCGAGCGUCAUUGCUGCCCUCAAGCACGGCUUGUGUGUUGGGCCCCGCCCCCCGAUCCCGGGGGGCGGGCCCGAAAGGCAGCGGCGGCACCGCGUCCGGUCCUCGAGCGUAUGGGGCUUUGUCACCCGCUCUGUAGGCCCGGCCGGCGCUUGCCGAUCAACCAAACUUUUUUCCAGGUUGACCUCGGAUCAGGUAGGGAUACCCGCUGAACUUAAGCAUAUCAAUAAGCGGAGGA